AUACGGAGGGUGCAAGCGUUGUUCGGAAUCACUGGGCGUCAAGGGCGCGCAGGCGGUUUGGUAAGUCAGAUGUGAAAGCCCACGGCUCAACCGUGGAAGUGCAUUUGAAACUGCCAGACUUGAGUACCAGAGGGGAAAGUGGAAUUCCCGGUGUAGAGGUGAAAUUCGUAGAUAUCGGGAGGAAUACCGGUGGCGAAGGCGACUUUCUGGCUGGAUACUGACGCUGAGGCGCGAAAGCGUGGGGAGCAAACAGGAUUAGAAACCCUAGUAGUCC
rnacentral:rRNA from 1 species